UUUAGUGGAAAUGUUGACUCAUGUUUUGCAAGCUCGGUGGUGACUCUUUAGGAUUAAUAUUAGACACCUAUCUAUCAGACGAGAAAUAGGAGGAAAAGUUGAGCAAAAACAAUUCAUUCUCUGAUAUAUCUCCAUUUCGUUCCAAAAUAAUUCCUAAUUUUCUAACUUUCUCUUUCAAUUGCCGAAAGCAUAGACUCCCCAAACUUUGUUAGAAUUUUCUUGGGUUCGGCUAUAAGCAUGGAAUUCAUCAAGGAAAUGAGGCUAUAAGACUGAAUCGGGAGUAGAGGCCAAGCAACCUUGGCUAUAAAAGCCUAGCUAGCCCAACACUUCUUUCCCUCUCUGCUUGAACCCGGCCCCUCUGCUCUGUACCUCCAAUCUCGGCCAAAGACAAUUCACCCAAAUUAGAUCCCACCGAAUUCAAUUAGCAUACAAAGAGUUUAAUUGGUCAAGCUUGCAAGGAUUAAAGGUAUAAUAAUAGACCAAUUUCAAUGUUAAGUUAAUUGAAGUAUAGUUAGCAGUUAGAUGGGUUAUGUGCAACAGUAGUGGGUUAAUGACUGAAUUAGCAAAAUCAAUUAUGUAUGCUAUGUUUGUUUAUGAUCAUGCUAGUGAGUUUAUUUGGAACAGUUAGUUGGUUAUUGGCUGUGAUUAGGUUAAUUAUAUUAUGAGUUAUGGUUCAAAGAUUUAACCAUUAUAUGAUGGGUUUUGCAAAUAAGUUAAAAAUUGAAAGCUAGUGGUUUCAAAAGCAAUUGAUAUAUGUAAAGCUUUGCAAAACACAGUUAGUUUGUUAUGGGAAUUGGUAAAGGUGGUUAUCUUAAUUGUGAUCAUGUUAGUUAACUAUGGAAAUGAAAGAUUACAUGUUUAGUGUAUUGCAAAUGAGUGGAAAGUAAGAAGUUAGUAAACUAAUUUGUUAAUUAGUUAGUGUACUACAUAUAUUCAUGUAUGCUUUUUAUUGUUAUUGGUUGCUUGUGGACUGAAUUAGAGUCAUGGAGAUUAGCGUGGUUGUGCGAAGCAAUAAGGUUGGCGAGAAUGCUAUGAAUACAUAGCUCCAACCUAGAGAAAAUAGUCUACAAGCUAGGUGAACACGUAUUGUUCGUUAAAAUGCCAUAAUAAACUAGAAUUGUUAAAAAUACAUAAUUUGACGGAGACAACACCUAAGGUAGCUUCAUAUGGUCUAAACUAAGAUAAUCUAAAAGCCUCAUGGUUAUUAAACAAGCCGGAAUGCGUUUUAGCAAGAAAUGAAAAAGUAAAAAGUUAGUGUGCGUGGCCAUUUUUGACACGAUAUUUGAACCACCUAUCGAACUCGAAAUAGGUGGCUAAUAUUUUCUAAAAAUAGUCUUGUAUACCAAGUACAACAUACUCAAAAAUGAAUGCAAUCCGACGUGUGAGCUAAAAGUUAGAAAAUCGUAAAGUGGCUACACGGGAAAAGGUGGGGCUUCCCAUAGUAGCCCAACCACCUAUUGGCAUCCACUUGCUACGUUUUUGACACUCAGUUUUCUCUCGCUUAAAAAUUCUGGAAUUCAAGGCUAGCAUUUUUUUAAAAAAUAGGUGGACAUACCACCUAUAACAUAUCUGAAAUUGGUCGGGAUCGGACGAACGAGACGAAGACUAAAAAUACGCAAAGUGGACGUCAGAACACAUUCGUCGGCGUCCUAUGCUAAGGCCGGUCGGGCCCAGUCCGACACCGCGAUGCUUUUUUUAUAACGAAGUGCAAUAUUUGAUGUCGUGACAUGUAUUUCAAGGUGGCGACACAUAUUUUAAGCUUUUUGACAAUUUCACGUAUUCAGAGGCAUCGAGGCGAGUAUAUAACGCGUGUAUUCGUUCAAAGCAUAUUAGAAGUUGUAAAAAUAAUAUGCAAACAUAAGUUUACAUAUAGAUAGACAAUAUAUCUAAGGGUGUAAACGAGUCGAACCGGAGCGAACAGAGAGCUACUCGAAUUAGACUCGAAAUGAUAAAUUCGUACUCGAAUUCGGCUCGAAUUCGAAUUAUAUUUGAAAAAUUUUACUCAGAUUCGACUCGACUCGAAUAUUUAGUACUCGAAUUUGAUUCGACUCGACUCGAAUAUUUAUUCAAACUACUCGCGAGCUUCAAAUUCAAGCUCGAAUUCGAGUCUCCACAUAAUAACUAGUUUUAUAAUGAAUAUAAUUAUUAAUUGAAUUUGUUAUUUUACUUAAAAAUGAGAAAAUAUAUUUAUUAUUACACUUUACAAAUAUAAAAUCACAAUUAAAAUUAAAAACAAAACAAAAUAAAAACUAAUUAUCCUAAUUUGAUUUAAAUUUGUAUAUAUUAUAAGAGAAUGUAUCGAACAUCUAAUCAAAUAUGUAUUAACCGAGUAUGUAUCGAAUCACAAUCAAAAAUUCGAGUAGUUUGAAUCUUAAACGAGUCGAGUAUAACCUUGCUCAGAUUCUACUCAUAUUUUUAUUCGAACUAUUUUUAAUGCUCAGAUUUGGAUCAUAUUAUUAACGAAUCCGAGUCUCGCUCGUAUUUUUUCGAGUCGAGUCUGAAUCGAGCCCGAACUGUGUUAGCUCGUUUACAACCUUAAAUAUAUCUGUAUAAUGGGAUACUUUGACACUAAUAAAAGCUAUUUUUCAACUAUAUCUCGAAAAUGAGUAGUUUUCGAAAUAUAAAACAAAGUUUAUGCAAACAAAGUUAAAAAUUCAAUGUUUGACAUAAGUAAGCUAUGUGUAGGUAUAAGACAUACAAAUAGACUAUGUCUACCUACAAGCUAAGUAAAUGAGGCAAGGUUUGCAUUACAAGUAAGGCGUAUAUGCAAAAGCAUAUAUAUACCUCAGGUAUGCACGGAAUGGAGAUAAGUACUGUUACAUAAACAUGUUAAGCAUGUAAAGCUACUAUACAUGUGAAAUAGAGUCUAAGUAACUCACAAAAACAAAGUUAAGCUAGAAAUGCACAAAGAAAGGCACAUAUGUGUUAUAUGUCUAUAAAUUUAUAUAUAGAUGCAUAAUAAGCCUAUAAAUGCAUUGUAAAGGAUACAUAAACUAUAAAUGCAAUCUAUUGGUGUUUUAAAAGCCGUAUUGGAACUUUUUACAAGUUUGUGGCUAUAUUAGACCAAAACCCCAGAAUUUCUAAAUAAAUGAGAAAGUUUUUGAGAAACAGACAUAAAGAGGUGUUAUUACGACUUAUGUUAAUGUUUAUAGCUAUACAAGUUAUAUGGCAUGGAUACGUGGCUAAUACGUUCAUACAUGUGAAUAUAAUUGUGUAGGAUUCGUGAAGGAAAGUUAAGCUUUAAACUAUAACGAUAGUUAGCAAACGAGACAAGUCUUCUAGUUUCUUUGUGAUUCUAUGAAUUUGUUAUUGUAUGAGAUCUUUAAGAAUAUGUUGAAUUAAAUGUUACAUGCUAUAAACUGUGAAAGUCAGUAUACGACUAAGCUGAUUGAGUUAUGGAACUCAAUACAUAUGUGAUAUAUGAUAUGAACAUAUACUGUUUAAAGUGAUGAUGCAAGAAUGGUAUAAAGGAUUAUAAGAUAUAUGUUGAGCAUGAAACUACGUGUUAUAUGAAGCAUGAAAACUAUUAGAUUUGCUGGGUUUUCGAGCUCAAUCUUGUAAAAAUAUAAUUUUUGCAGGUAUGAUAUGCAGCACCAUUUCUUGCUAUCUGGAUGAUAAAGAAUAGAGGCCUGCGUGUAGGAAAGUUAUUUCCUUUUAAGUAGGAAUUAUAUUAUAUCGAAAUGACUUUUUGAUGUGUAAAUGAGAAUUGUGUAAAUAUUGAGUUAUUCGAUAAAUGAAAAAUGUUUGUGUUAAGUCUGA
rnacentral:lncRNA from 1 species